CUUCAAGCUCCACCUCCCAGGUUCAAGCAAUUCUCCUGCCCCAGCCUCCCGAGUAGCUGGGACUAAAGACAUGUGCCACCAAGCCCAGCUAAUUUUUUGUAUUUUUAGUAGAGAAAGGGUUUCACUCUGUUAGCCAGGAUGGUCUCUAUCCCCUGAGCUCGUGAUCUGCCUGCCUAGGUCUCCCAAAGUGCUGGGAUUGCAGGCAUGAGCCACCAUGCCCAGCCUAAUGUAUUUUCUUCAGAAUAUUUUGAAGAAUUGAAAAGUAUUGAAAUGCAUUAAAUUAAUCCACUCCAGACAUCUGUUACCAAAACACCAAGGUUUGGUCUAGGUCUUGCUGCUUGCUGCACAGAAAGCCGAUUAUUCAGAGGACAAGUAUUGCCAAGGAAGUGCAGCAGGAUAAUUUAGGAAUCAGAGAGACAGAGGGGUUGAGGAGGGUGCUUAUUAUUUAUUAUUUAGGUGCACUGGCCCAGUCAGAUUAACAUCCAAAAAGACUGAGCCCUGAACAAAGAGUCCGGUUACCUUUUAAGCAUUUUGUGGGGCAGGGGGAGAUCUGUGCAGGGGGAAGCAUAUUACAGAAGUGAGAAACAGACAGUUAUUCAAUUGAGACAUGCAUUACAUCAUUUCUUACUUUUCAAGGAAAAACAUGUUUUACGACUUGAGUUUAUCUGCCUAGUGACCUUGCAGUUGCACAGCUAGAGAAACAGGGUCUUCACAAUGCCUGGGAAAGGGAGAGAUAAGGCUCACUAGCCACAGAAAAACAGGCAAUUAAUUUUUAAAGGACUUCAGCUCUUUCUUUUCCUCAGGGGGAAUUGGUUUUUUUUUACAUACAACUGAGUUUUUGCUUACACAUUCUUUAAUUUCUUUUAAUUCCUGUUUCAGAAGAAGGCUUUAAUUGUGUGCUGCAGCCAAGGAGAUGUGAGCUCAAUCUCAAAUCCAUCGCCCUGACCAACUAAAACUAGGAGUUUCUAUAGCAGAAAGAGAGGAUAAAAAGAAGAGAGUUGUUGCAGAAAUUUGAAGAGACAACGGGUGAAAAUUUUAUAGAAUCUGUCAAAGACAUCAGAUUCACAAAUGGCUACAUAUACCAAGCAGGAUAAUGAAAAAGAAAUCCACACAACAGUAAAACUGCGUAACAUCAAAGGAAAAAAAAAUCUCAAAAGCAAGCAGGCAGAAAAGACCAAUCAUGAACAAAGAAAUGAUACUUAGACUGAAUGUAAACUUCUCUACAGCAACAAUAGAAGUCAGAAGAUGGUGGAAUAGUAUCUUCAAAAUGCUUAGAGAAAACAAGAGUCAACCCAGAGUUGCAAACCCAGUAAAACUGUUUUUUUUUUCUAUUUUUUUUUGAGACAGGGUCUUACUCCCACUGCCCAGGCUGGAGUGCAGUGGUCUGAUCACAGUUCACUGCAGCCUCGACCUCCUGACUCAGGUGAUCCUCCUGCCUCAGCCUCCCAAGUAGCUGGGAUCACAGGCAUGUGCCACCAUGCCAGGCUAAUGUUUUGUAUUUUUAGUAGAGGUGGUGUCUUGCCAUGUUGCUCAGAUUGGUCUUGGACUCCUGAGCUCAAGUGAUCAGCCCACCUCAGCCUCCUAAAGUGCUGGGAUUACAGGCAAAUCACCACAACUGGCCCAGUAAAACUAUCUUUCAAAAACAGGAUGAAAUGAAGACAUUUUUCAGAAAGAGUUAAUAAAAUCUAAGAGUUCACAAAGUGGCCCUCACUAUAGUAACUUCAAAAGGAGGAAAAUGAUCACAUAAAGAAGAUCAGAGAUGAAAGAAGAAACCAUGAGGCUGAGUGCAGUAGCUCAUGCCUGUAAUCCCAGCACUUUGGGAGGCCGAGGCAGGCAGAUCACUUGAGGUCAGGAGUUUGAUACCAGCCUGGGCAACAUAGAGAAACCCGGUAUCUACUAAAGAUACAAAAAUUAGCCAGGCGUGGUGACAUGUGCCUGUAAUCUCAGCUACUUGGGAGGGUGAGGCAGGAGAAUCACUUGAACCCGGGAGAUGGAGGCUGCAGUGAAGCUGAGAUUGCACACUCUAGCCUGGGUGACAGAGCGAGACUCGUCUCGGGGAAAAAAAAAAAAAACAGCACAAGCAAAGAAAAUAAAAAACAUAUGAAUUGAUGUGCAUGAAUGUUACUUCUCUAGAUUACUGAGUUUUUGGUGUUCCCUUAAAUUUUGUGCCUACAAGUGCCUCAGUCGUUUUGCCUGUGGGAAGGAUCUUAUUCAACACGAGGCGUUUCACUUUAUCUCCCUAUUUUCACCAUAGUACCCUCUUCCUGUCUUCAUCCUCAG
rnacentral:lncRNA from 1 species